CGAUAAGCCCACGGAUCAGCCUACUGGCACCGGAGCUGCUUCAAAAGAUAAAUUUAAGCAAAAUGAUGAACACGAACAACGAACAAAGGAAGGAAGGAAGGAGAGAGGCUCAUAUCAAGUGUAGAUUGGGAAAAGACCAGGUGUUCGAAGAAUGUUCCCUCCCUUGAAUGAUACCCACCUGGAAUUUAGAGGCAAAGGAGGCUAAAUAUAAAUAUGCGCCUUCAAUCAUGCACAAGAAAUGGUGGUAUGUUUUAUAUUCUUACUUGUACUUUGUUACGAGGCAAUGAAGAAAUACAGCCAUUUGCAACUUUGUGAAAUCUGUUCCAACACAAAACCUCAUGCCUCCUCCAAAGGCCAUGAAGUUUCUUGAUGCACCGUGUGUAUUUAUUCCCUUCAGUAUGCAUCCGUAUUUCAAUUAAGUCAUUGGAGUAUUUUCACACACACACACACACACACACACACACACAUACACAUCGUGUAUGGAAAACUUACCUCCCAUCUCCAUGGAUUGAAGUCGAGGGGAUCUUUAUAUUUGGUGCUGUUUAGGUGCACAGCUGGAGGACAUACCAUGACAGCCCAACCAGCAGGAAUUGUGUACCCUGCAUUGUAAGGUAUAAAAUCAUCUUAGUUUAGUGAAACAGUAGCAAAAGAAACUUGAUAAGAUUUGAGGUUUGAAACCACACCUUUGAAUUUGGUUUCUUGCAGUGUUUUUCUGAAAAUCCCUGGUACUAUAUUGGCCAAUCUGACUGUUUCAUUGAUAACCUGCAUAAUAAUCUUACUAGUGAACUUCAUUGUUGCAAAACACUCGCCAAAAUCCUUAGAAGAUAUAGAUGUUUAUAGCUCACCUGAAAUGUGAAUUUCAUUGAUUUGUAUUCAUUCCAUGUCAAUCCAGACUCUGAACUUUCCCUCCUUUGAAUAAUUGUGUUGUGCUCUUCCUGGAGCAAAUGUAAACAUGUUAGGUUGAAUACAACACCAAGGGUCAAUCUUAGUUGAUUCAUAGAGAGUACUCAUAUUUGCUUACUUACCAUAAGUUCUUUCAAAACCAGUGGAUGAUCUAGCAGAAACUUAACUGCUAAAGUGAUUGCUAAUGAGGUUGUCUCAAAGCUUGCAAAGAGCAAUACGAACAUUAAGUCAAGAGCUAUUGGCUCUGUGAGAACUGUAUCUUCACGCUGAAGUUCUUCCAAGACAUAAUCAAAGAAAUCACUCUGGAUUUUCCUUGGGCUUUUCCGCCUUUCUUGUAGCAUGGUUUUCAGCAUAUUCAUUGCCUUCUUUCUACCCUGCAGGUCAAAGAUAGUAGUGAGAUUGCUUCAUGUUAUGGUGGUUUUGUCAUUUAUAUGGAAAUAUUACCAAAUAUAGACAAAAUACCUGUAAGCAUUUGUGGUAGGCUGUUCCUGGAAUGUUCAAAGGAAAGGAGAUCAAACCAUUUAUGAAAGCAACAAAAUUCUCCCUUAGAUUUCCAGUUGAUGUUUUUGCAUCAUAGCUGAUUAGCUUUUUUGCAGUCAGGUCAAAUAUCAUCUGUGCAGUUGCUUCCUUCAUAUCAAUCACAUUCUGGUGAGACCAUCUUUCCAGGCUUUUCAUCGAUGCUUUCUCAACCUCUGGAAGCAUCUUUUUAAGGCUUUCAGGGCCAAAGAGAUUCAGCACCAUAUUCUUAAGGUACUUGUACAUUAAACCAUGCUGAGAACCCACAUUCUGCCUGCCAAAUAUUUCAGUGAAGGUCUCAGGAUACCAGCUCUGGAACAGCUUUCCCUCUUGCUGGAAGAUGUAAUAAUUAAGAUCUGCAUCUGUUGAUACAAUAACAGGCCGUCCCACCAAACUAGUCUUGAAUAUCGAUCCAUAUCUGAGAAGUUCGCAGAUAGGCAAAUUAUAUACAUGUGUGUGUGUGUGUGAUUAGAAAGAUGAAAAUGGUUAUUUGACAGAAGGAUUGCCUGUGAGAUUACCUUUGCAUUCUCUCCUUUACGAACGGAGGAAUGUCGGAAGAAGUGUUGGGAGCAAAGAACUGAAGUGUCUCUCCAACAAGUGGCCAUCCCAUUGAACCUGGUGGGAGGACCCCAUUGCACCUUGGAUUCUUCCAUUUGUAAAUCCAGUUGAAAAUGGCUACCAGCAGUAAAGUUCCAAUGUAGAAAAGUGGUUUUUGUAGGAAAUGAGAAACUCAAGAGGAAAGAGGAGACAGUGCUGCAUAGAAGCUGCUGGUCUGAUACCCUCGCAGACAACUGCUUAUAUAGAUAGACAGGCAAGAAUCUGCAACUACUUUAGUUGACAAUUUUUUGUUAAGUUAGUUGUACACAAAAGGUGCAAAUAACCAAUUGAAUAAUUCUGUCUCCUGUGCCCCCCUUGAUCCUUCGUCAACACUUAAUAAAAUAUUUGUAGAAAUUGAGCAUGAUUAAUGAAGGCCACAGGAUGCUUUCUCCCCUUCAUGUA